GAGUUUUCAUAUCAUAUUGACCCAUAUGUCGUCCAAAUAUUUAUCAUCCCAACAUGUUUUUUUUUUAGACUAUGUGAAUGACUGCCUGUCAGAGGUGAUGAAACUGACUGCCAUUCAAAAUAAGUACAGAACUGGUGAUGUGUGUGUCGACCCGCAAUUUCUGACAGCAGCACUGAACAGACCAGACCGGACAAGUCAACCGUUAUUGCCAAGCACCAGACUAGAUUCCUCAGGAAAUAAAAAAAAUUACAUUCCCUGUA